rnacentral:lncRNA from 1 species
GGGGGAGGAUGGGGCUAGGUCAGCAAUGAGGAGGUGGAGGGUAGGUGUGCCGAUCGGAGAAGAGGAGGUGUUGGUCAAGAUUGAGUUCGAACGAGUGGAGGCAUAUCGGUCAAUAUUGAGAUCGGGGGAAGGUUACCAUGUGGGAAGAGAGACCUAAGUGUCAUGAAAAUGGUUGUGCAUGUGCACGACCUAUUCCCUCCCGCAUAUUAUCACUACAUGUGGGUAAUCAAUCAUCUAACAACAAACACACUAUGCUGAUAUUCAAAGGCAUGCGUCAAAUAUAAGAUUACAACAACCCCAAAGAUAGCACAUGCUAGGCAUGAAUAAGCAUUACAACAUAGUAUGCUAAGACCACGAUCAUAUAAACAGGUGCAAUGAUAACAUAUCAAGAUCUCACAUCAAUCCCUAGUACAAAUAGAGACUUUACCCCUCCUCCCCCCACCCCCCAAAAUUAUC